GUCAUAUGCUUGUCUCAAAGAUAAAGCCAUGCAUGUCUCAGUACAAGCCGAAUUAAGGUGAAACCGCGAAAGGCUCAUUAAAUCAGUUAUGGUUCCUUAGAUCGUACCCACAAUUACUUGGAUAACUGUGGUAAUUCUAGAGCUAAUACAUGCGAACAGAGCUCCGACCGGAGACGGAAGGAGUGCUUUUAUUAGAUCAAAACCAAUCGGUGGCGGGUUCGCGCUCGUCAUCGUACAACCUGGUGACUCUGAAUAACUUUACGCUGAUCGCACGGUCAUCGCACCGGCGACGCAUCUUUCAAAUGUCUGCCUUAUCAACUGUCGAUGGUAGGUUCUGCGCCUACCAUGGUUGUAACGGGUAACGGGGAAUCAGGGUUCGAUUCCGGAGAGGGAGCCUGAGAAACGGCUACCACAUCCAAGGAAGGCAGCAGGCGCGCAAAUUACCCACUCCCGGCACGGGGAGGUAGUGACGAAAAAUAACGAUACGGGACUCAUCCGAGGCCCCGUAAUCGGAAUGAGUACACUCUAAACCCUUUAACGAGGAUCAAUUGGAGGGCAAGUCUGGUGCCAGCAGCCGCGGUAAUUCCAGCUCCAAUAGCGUAUAUUAAAGUUGUUGCGGUUAAAAAGCUCGUAGUCGAAUUUGUGUCCCGCGCCGCCGGUUCAUCGUCCGCGGUGUUAACUGGCGAGUCGCGAGACGUCCUGCCGGUGGGCUUAGCUCGCGAGGGCGGCCCAACUCAAUCCUGCCGCGGUGCUCUUCAUUGAGUGUCGAGGUGGGCCGGCACGUUUACUUUGAACAAAUUAGAGUGCUUAAAGCAGGCUAAAACUUCGCCUGAAUACUGUGUGCAUGGAAUAAUGGAAUAGGACCUCGGUUCUAUUUUGUUGGUUUUCGGAACCCCCGAGGUAAUGAUUAAUAGGAACGGAUGGGGGCAUUCGUAUUGCGACGUUAGAGGUGAAAUUCUUGGAUCGUCGC
rnacentral:rRNA from 1 species